GGUAGUGAUUGGGAGGGGUGGGGACAGUGAGAGAGUAGGUAGGGGUACAGUAGAAGUGUAAGGGCGAGCAAUAGCCAGUGUUUUGGAGUGGUCGUGCCAUAUCAAGCCUUAGAGAAGCGUCCUGCUUGGCCCCUCCCAGCGUUGCUGUGGUUACGCUGCCGUGGGAAUUCUGGAAGCUGAUUCCUGCCACUUGGAGAGAGGAGGUUAUCUCUCCGAAUCAUCUCUCCAUAUUUCCUCUCUUUCUUUCUUUCUCUCCCUCUCUCUCUCUUCACAAGGCACCAAAACCAGGGGAACAACAUGGCUCCUCUUCCUUGUCAUUGUUCAUUGUGUUGCAUUAUAAUGAAAAUCACUUUCUGUUUUUUGUUUUCUAUGUGGCACAUUUUUGCUUUCUCCAUUGUUUUGUUCUUCCUCACUUUUCAGUGUUGAUUUCUACAGACGAUACCGCUGAUAUGAUUCUGUUCCAUGUCGUUUUGCGGUCACCCCUCCAUGACUUCAGCUCAUUGUCAAAUUACCUUUUUUGCAUCCUAAAUGGCACCCUAUUCCCAAAAUAGUGUCCUACUUUUGACCAGAGCCCUAAAAUACAUGUAGUGUACCAUAUAGAGAAUAGGGUGCUUUUUGGGACGUACCCCUGGUCUCUGUAUCCGAACACCCCUGGUCUCUCUGUACCAGGACACCCCUGGUCUCUCUGUACCAGGACAUCCCUGGUCUCUCUGCAUCCAGACACCCCUGUUCUCUCUGUACCAGGACACCGCUGGUCUCUCUGUACCAGGACACCGCUGGUCUCUCUGUACCAGGACACCGCUGGUCUCUCUGUACCAGGACAUCCCUGGUCUCUCUGUACCAGGACACCCCUGGUCUCUCUGUACCAGGACAUCCCUGGUCUCUCUGUACCAGGACACCCCUGGUCUCUCUGUACCAGGACACCGCUGGUCUCUCUGUACCAGGACACCACUGGUCUCUCUGUACCAGGACACCGCUGGUCUCUCUGUACCAGGACAUCCCUGGUCUCUCUGGUAUGUAUUUGUAUGACAAUAACACCUUCCUGAAAGUUAUGUUGCCACAUCCCCAAAUAAAAUCAAAAUGACGUC